rnacentral:tRNA from 1 species
GCGGGUUUAGCUCAGUUGGGAGAGCGUCAGACUGAAGUCAAAACUUCAUUUUAUCGGUUAAAAUGAUAUCCCGAGAAAUUGGGUAUCAGAAAGACAAUCUGAAGGUCGUGUGUUCGAUCCACACAAACCGCA